rnacentral:rRNA from 1 species
GUGAGGAAUAUUGGUCAAUGGGCGGGAGCCUGAACCAGCCAAGUCGCGUGAAGGAAGAAGGAUCUAUGGUUCGUAAACUUCUUUUGCAGGAGGGUAAAGUGAGCUACGUGUAGUUCAUUGCAAGUACCCUGCGAAUAAGCAUCGGCUAACUCCGUGCCAGCAGCCGCGGUAAUACGGAGGAUGCGAGCGUUAUCCGGAUUUAUUGGGUUUAAAGGGUGCGUAGGCGGACUAAUUAGUCAGCGGUGAAAUUUUGCGGCUCAACCGUAAAACUGCCGUUGAAACUGUUAGUCUUGAGUGCGGUAGAGGUAGGCGGAAUGUGUGGUGUAGCGGUGAAAUGCUUAGAUAUCACACAGAACACCGAUUGCGUAGGCAGCUUACUGGAGCGCAACUGACGCUGAGGCACGAAAGCGUGGGGAUCGAACAGGAUUAGAUACCCUAGUAGUCC